UGGGGAAUAUUGCACAAUGGGCGAAAGCCUGAUGCAGCAACGCCGCGUGAGGGAUGAAGGCCUUCGGGUUGUAAACCUCUUUUAGCAGGGAAGAAGCGCAAGUGACGGUACCUGCAGAAAAAGCACCGGCUAACUACGUGCCAGCAGCCGCGGUAAUACGUAGGGUGCACGCGUUGUCCGGAAUUAUUGGGCGUACAGAGCUCGUAGGCGGUUUGUCGCGUCUGCUGUGAAAAUCCGAGGCUCACCCUC
rnacentral:rRNA from 1 species